rnacentral:tRNA from 4 species
GGGUGCGUAGCUCAGCGGUAGAGCACUGCCUUCACACGGCAGGGGUCACAGGUUCAAUCCCUGUCGUACCCACCA